GAAUAUUGGACAAUGGGGGCAACCCUGAUCCAGCAAUGCCGCGUGUGUGAAGAAGGCCUGCGGGUUGUAAAGCACUUUCAGUGGGGAGGAAGGCCUUAAUGCUAAUAGUAUUAAGGAUUGACGUUACCCAAAGAAGAAGCACCGGCUAACUCUGUGCCAGCAGCCGCGGUAAUACAGAGGGUGCGAGCGUUAAUCGGAAUUACUGGGCGUAAAGGGCGCGUAGGUGGUUAAUUAAGUUAGGUGUGAAAUCCCUGGGCUUAACCUAGGAAUUGCAUUUAAAACUGAUUGACUAGAGUGCGGUAGAGGGAAGUGGAAUUUCCGGUGUAGCGGUGAAAUGCGUAGAUAUCGGAAGGAACACCAGUGGCGAAGGCGACUUCCUGGCCCGUUACUGACACUGAUGCGCGACAGCGUGGGGAGCGAACAGG
rnacentral:rRNA from 1 species